GCAUAACGCGAAGAACCUUACCCGGGCUUGAAAGUUACUGAAGCAUCCAGAGACGGAUGCGUCCUUCGGGACAGGAAACUAGGUGCUGCAUGGCUGUCGUCAGCUCGUACCGUGAGGUGUUGGGUUAAGUCCCGCAACGAGCGCAACCCCUAUGUCUAGUUGCCAGCACGUUAUGGUGGGGACUCUAGACAGACUGCCUGCGCAAGCAGAGAGGAAGGCGGGGACGACGUCAAGUCAUCAUGGCCCUUACGUCCGGGGCUACACACGUGCUACAAUGGAUGGUACAGCGGGCAGCUACACAGCAAUGUGAUGCCAAUCUCGAAAAGCCAUUCACAGUUCGGAUCGGGGUCUGCAACUCGACCCCGUGAAGUUGGAUUCGCUAGUAAUCGCGUGUCAGCAAUGACGCGGUGAAUACGUUCCCGGGUCUUGUACACACCG
rnacentral:rRNA from 1 species